GGGUCGGUAGCUCAAUCGGUAGAGCAGCGCCCUUUUAAGGCGUUGGCUGCGGGUUCGAGUCCCGCCCAACCCA
rnacentral:tRNA from 1 species